rfam:Canis lupus familiaris chromosome 35, whole genome shotgun sequence.
CCAAAGGUUCUUUUAAGAGCCACCCACAUUUUCCAAAAGACUGUAG